AUACGUAGGGGGCAAGCGUUGUCCGGAUUUACUGGGUGUAAAGGGCGCGUAGGCGGGUUUGUAAGUCAGCGGUGAAAUCCUAUAGCUUAACUAUAGAACUGCCGUUGAAACUACAAGUCUUGAGUUUGGAAGAGAGUAGCGGAAUUCCAGGUGUAGUAGUGAAAUACGUAGAUAUCUGGAAGAACACCAGUGGCGAAGGCGGCUACUUGGUCCAUAACUGACGCUGAGGCGCGAAAGCGUGGGGAGC
rnacentral:rRNA from 1 species